UGCGCGCCAGUUAAGUCUGCGCGCGGCCAAAAUUUGAACUAAUCCCAGGCCGUCAUGUUGUUCAUUGUUGUGACAGGUGAAGUGAGCGUUUUGAGUGUCUUGUGUUUUUAUUCGUAUAUUUUAUUGAUCAAAUUUUGUAAUCAUCAUGCCAAAAGUCAUUAAACAGCACUUUUAAUGAGAGACUUUUCGAGAGAUUUUUCUUAAGGUGAAACGUUCUUCUGAAGCAGAACGGGACAAUAAGGGGCCAAUUGUUCCAUUUUCUAAAGUACGGGCUCGGGACUCGGGUUGCUUUCUUGACAGGUAUUUCUGAACGCACUGUCACUCAAAUAAUUCAAGAAGGUAAUAAAGUUGAAGCUUUAUCCAAAAGACGUAUUGCAGAGAAAAAUGUUAGUCAAACUACAAGUGUAAUAUCUUCAAUAACUGAAGCAGCGUUUAGUACCAUAACUACGGAGGAAUGGAUUAAUGUAUGUCAACACGUGGAAAAAAUCGAAGACCAUUAUUUCGUAUCCGACAGGCUCUUGGAUAUAGAAUUAGACAAAUUUAUAAUUGAUCCUACAAGUGACGAUGGAAGCUCAGACUCUGCGGACGACGAAAUGAGCGAAGAUUCAAACAAUACAAUGGAAGGCAUUGACCCACUUGAAGACCACACUUAUCCAAAAUUUAAAAGUUCCGUUAUAUACCUAAUAAAAAAAAUCAAAAAAUAA